rfam:Oryzias latipes DNA, scaffold513, strain: Hd-rR.
GUAGGAUAUGGGGAUAUCUACCCCAAAACUUUGUUAGGAAAGAUUGUUGGGGGGCUGUGCUGCAUUGCUGGAGUACUUGUGAUCGCCCUACCAAUUCCUAUUAUUGUAAAUAAC